UACCCGACCAGUAAUAGGAAAACUACUUAUUUUUAUAACUAAAAACUAAGCUUCCUAUAACACUUUGCAAGAGAGAAAAUUAUUUUAGAAUUUGUUCACAAACGUGUGUGUGUGUGUGUGCACAUGCACGAUGCAACGAUGUCCCUGCGAGGUUAACAUCACACGGGUGUCAUAGAGAUGAUGUCAUAAAAACACAACAUUUAUAAUAAAUUCGAUUUCGCACAUCUCUAUGAGUUUUGUGUAACUUUAUUGUGAUCAUUGUGACUUUCAUGCUAUGUAAAUAGUGAUACCAUGGAUGGACCACUAGAUGUCAGGAAAUCCUCAAGACUCAAACAACAAACAGCAGAAGCCAGUGUUUGCUCCGACCAGUCGGUAGACUGAUGUGCGACUAGCUCUUGAAGUCUGGAUUGAAUUUUGUUAUCUUCAACGAAUAUAAUUGAGCUUAGAAGACUGAACAAAAUUGACCAACAUUGCACAUAAUAUAAGAAACUGUAUUUCGAAAAAAGGAAAAGAAUGAAAUCCUCUUAUUGAAUAAAACGCACGAAAAUAGAAGUGAGAAAAAUUUCGACUAUCUUCUACAUAUGAAUAUAUGUUCGGUUAAAAAAAAAUGAAAGAGCUUCAAUUGGACGAGAUUCAUUCGAUAUUUGCACGAAUAAAAGGAGCAAGAGUUUAUUGCUAGUGAUACCAUGGAUGGACCACUAGAUUUUAAGAAAUCCUUACGACUAAACAACAAACAGCAGAAGCCAGUGUUUGUUCUGAUCAGUCGGCCACAGACUGAUAUGCAACUAACUCUUGAUGUUUGAACUGAAUUUUGUUAUCUGCAACAAAUAUAAUUAUAAACUCAGAAGACUGAACAAAAUAUUAAGACCAACACUGUAUAUAAUAUUAGGAACAGACAAGGUGUUGCUGAACAAUGCAGCAGGGAAUAUUGAAGCUCCACUUUUCCACAAUUUCAACGGAUACGUUAACAAAUGUUAUCUGAUACUUCUGUAUAAGUGAUAAAAAGGUAAUAAGUAAUCGUUCAUUCUACUCAACCUGCAUUCGAUAAUGUCUCGACUCCCGCCCAUAAAAUUUUCUUUAAUAGAAAUUAUACUCUAUCAUUCACAAUA